UACGUAGGGGGCAAGCGUUGUCCGGAUUUAUUGGGCGUAAAGAGCGUGUAGGCGGCCUUACAGGUCAGCUGUGAAAACUCGAAGGCUCAACCUCGAGACGUCGGUUGAAACCGUAAGGCUAGAGUCCGGAAGAGGAGAGUGGAAUUCCCGGUGGUAGCGGUGAAAUGCGUAGAUAUCGUGGAGGAACACCGGUGGCGAAGGCGGCAUCCUGGACCAAUUCUGGAGCGCUGAGGC
rnacentral:rRNA from 1 species